AGAGUUUGAUCCUGGCUCAGGAUGAACGCUGGCGGUCUGCUUAACACAUGCAAGUCGAACGGAACUCUUCGGAGUUCAGUGGCGGACGGGUGAGUAACGCGUGAGAAUCUGCCUUCAGGUUCGGGACAACCACUGGAAACGGUGGCUAAUACCGAAUGUGCAGCAAUGUGAAAAAUUUAUUGCCUGAAGAUGAGCUCGCGUCUGAUUAGCUAGUAGGUGUGGUAAGAGCGCACCUAGGCGACGAUCAGUAGCUGGUCUGAGAGGAUGAUCAGCCACACUGGGACUGAGACACGGCCCAGACUCCUACGGGAGGCAGCAGUGGGGAAUUUUCCGCAAUGGGCGAAAGCCUGACGGAGCAAUACCGCGUGAGGGAGGAAGGCUCUUGGGUUGUAAACCUCUUUUCUCAAGGAAGAAAAAAAUGACGGUACUUGAGGAAUAAGCAUCGGCUAACUCCGUGCCAGCAGCCGCGGUAAUACGGAGGAUGCAAGCGUUAUCCGGAAUGAUUGGGCGUAAAGCGUCCGCAGGUGGCUAUGUAAGUCUGCUGUUAAAGAGUCUGGCUCAACCAGAUAAAGGCAGUGGAAACUACAUGGCUAGAGUGCGUUCGGGGCAGAGGGAAUUCCUGGUGUAGCGGUGAAAUGCGUAGAGAUCAGGAAGAACACCGGUGGCGAAAGCGCUCUGCUAGGCCGCAACUGACACUGAGGGACGAAAGCUAGGGGAGCGAAUGGGAUUAGAUACCCCCGUAGUCC
rnacentral:rRNA from 1 species